rnacentral:rRNA from 1 species
CCGAAUUCUUCCACACAGAGUUUGAUCCGGCUCAGAUUGAACGCUGGCGGCAGGCCUAACACAUGCAAGUCGAGCGGAUGAUGGGAGCUUGCUCCCGGAUUCAGCGGCGGACGGGUGAGUAAUGCCUAGGAAUCUGCCUGGUAGUGGGGGACAACGUUUCGAAAGGAACGCUAAUACCGCAUACGUCCUACGGGAGAAAGCAGGGGACCUUCGGGCCUUGCGCUAUCAGAUGAGCCUAGGUCGGAUUAGCUAGUUGGUGGGGUAAAGGCCUACCAAGGCGACGAUCCGUAACUGGUCUGAGAGGAUGAUCAGUCACACUGGAACUGAGACACGGUCCAGACUCCUACGGGAGGCAGCAGUGGGGAAUAUUGGACAAUGGGCGAAAGCCUGAUCCAGCCAUGCCGCGUGUGUGAAGAAGGUCUUCGGAUUGUAAAGCACUUUAAGUUGGGAGGAAGGGCAGUAAGUUAAUACCUUGCUGUUUUGACGUUACCAACAGAAUAAGCACCGGCUAACUUCGUGCCAGCAGCCGCGGUAAUACGAAGGGUGCAAGCGUUAAUCGGAAUUACUGGGCGUAAAGCGCGCGUAGGUGGUUUGGUAAGAUGGAUGUGAAAUCCCCGGGCUCAACCCUGGAACUGCAUCCAUAACUGCCUGACUAGAGUA